UACGUAGGGUGCAAGCGUUGUCCGGAAUUAUUGGGCGUAAAGAGCUCGUAGGCGGUCUUUUAAGUUUGGUGUGAAAUCUCCCGGCUCAACUGGGAGGGUGCGCCGAAAACUGGGAGGCUUGAGGAUGGGAGAGGCAUGCGGAAUUCCUGGUGUAGCGGUGAAAUGCUUAGAUAUCGUCAAGAACACCUAUAGCGAAGGCAGCUUACUAGGCUGUAACUGACGCUGAGGCACGAAAGUGUGGGGAUCAAACAGG
rnacentral:rRNA from 1 species